rnacentral:rRNA from 1 species
GACGAACGCUGGCGGCGUGCUUAACACAUGCAAGUCGAACGGAAAGGCCCUGCUUUUGUGGGGUGCUCGAGUGGCGAACGGGUGAGUAACACGUGAGUAACCUGCCCCUGACUUUGGGAUAACUUCAGGAAACUGGGGCUAAUACCGGAUAGGAGCUCCUGCUGCAUGGUGGGGGUUGGAAAGUUUCGGCGGUUGGGGAUGGACUCGCGGCUUAUCAGCUUGUUGGUGGGGUAGUGGCUUACCAAGGCUUUGACGGGUAGCCGGCCUGAGAGGGUGGCCGGCCACAUUGGGACUGAGAUACGGCCCAGACUCCUACGGGAGGCAGCAGUGGGGAAUAUUGCACAAUGGGCGGAAGCCUGAUGCAGCAACGCCGCGUGCGGGAUGACGGCCUUCGGGUUGUAAACCGCUUUCGCCUGUGACGAAGCGUGAGUGACGGUAAUGGGUAAAGAAGCACCGGCUAACUACGUG